rnacentral:rRNA from 1 species
CCUACGGGAGGCAGCAGUGAGGACUAUUGGUCAAUGGACGAGAGUCUGAACCAGCCAAGUAGCGUGAAGGAUGACUGCCCUAUGGGUUGUAAACUUCUUUUAUAUGGGAAUAAAACGUUCCACGUGUGGGAUUUUGUAUGUACCAUAUGAAUAAGGAUCGGCUAACUCCGUGCCAGCAGCCGCGGUAAUACGGAGGAUCCGAGCGUUAUCCGGAUUUAUUGGGUUUAAAGGGAGCGUAGGUGGAUUGUUAAGUCAGUUGUGAAAGUUUGCGGCUCAACCGUAAAAUUGCAGUUGAAACUGGCAGUCUUGAGUACAGUAGAGGUGGGCGGAAUUCGUGGUGUAGCGGUGAAAUGCUUAGAUAUCACGAAGAACUCCGAUUGCGAAGGCAGUUCACUGGACUGCAACUGACACUGAGGCUCGAAAGUGUGGGUAUCAAACAGGAUUAGAUACCCGAGUAGUC